UUUUUUUUUAUUCCUAUCCCUACCUCCUCGCGGUACUGGCCGGAGUACGAGUAACCUCAAGAAAGAUAAGGAAUCACCAACCCCGGUGGGAACAUUGGUCGAAUGCUGACAGGGAAAG
rnacentral:ribozyme from 1 species